ACGAACGCUGGCGGCGCGCCUAACACAUGCAAGUCGAACGAGCGAGAGAGAGCUUGCUUUCUCGAGCGAGUGGCGAACGGGUGAGUAACGCGUGAGGAACCUGCCUCAAAGAGGGGGACAACAGUUGGAAACGACUGCUAAUACCGCAUAAGCCCACGGGUCGGCAUCGACCAGAGGGAAAAGGAGCAAUCCGCUUUGAGAUGGCCUCGCGUCCGAUUAGCUAGUUGGUGAGGUAACGGCCCACCAAGGCAACGAUCGGUAGCCGGACUGAGAGGUUGAACGGCCACAUUGGGACUGAGACACGGCCCAGACUCCUACGGGAGGCAGCAGUGGGGAAUAUUGCACAAUGGGGGAAACCCUGAUGCAGCGACGCCGCGUGGAGGAAGAAGGUCUUCGGAUUGUAAACUCCUGUUGUUGGGGAAGAUAAUGACGGUACCCAACAAGGAAGUGACGGCUAACUACGUG
rnacentral:rRNA from 1 species